rnacentral:rRNA from 1 species
AGUGAACGCUGGCGGUAGGCCUAACACAUGCAAGUCGAACGGCAGCACAGUAAGAGCUUGCUCUUACGGGUGGCGAGUGGCGGACGGGUGAGGAAUACAUCGGAAUCUACUUUUUCGUGGGGGACAACGAAGGGAAACUUACGCUAAUACCGCAUACGACCUACGGGUGAAAGCAGGGGAUCUUCGGACCUUGCGCGAUUGAAUGAGCCGAUGUCGGAUUAGCUAGUUGGCGGGGUAAAGGCCCACCAAGGCGACGAUCCGUAGCUGGUCUGAGAGGAUGAUCAGCCACACUGGAACUGAGACACGGUCCAGACUCCUACGGGAGGCAGCAGUGGGGAAUAUUGGACAAUGGGCGCAAGCCUGAUCCAGCCAUACCGCGUGGGUGAAGAAGGCCUUCGGGUUGUAAAGCCCUUUUGUUGGGAAAGAAGAGCAGCAGGUUAACACCCCGCUGUUCUGACGGUACCCAAAGAAUAAGCACCGGCUAACUUCGUG